rnacentral:rRNA from 1 species
CCUACGGGAGGCAGCAGUGGGGAAUAUUGGUCAAUGGGCGCAAGCCUGACCCAGCAACGCCGCGUGAAGGAAGAAGGCUUUCGGGUUGUAAAAUUCUUUUCUGAGAGACGAAGAAAGUGACGGUACCUCAGGAAUAAGCGACGGCUAACUACGUGCCAGCAGCCGAGGUAAUACGUAGGUGGCAAGCGUUAUGCGGAUUUAUUGGGUGUAAAGGGCGUGUAGGCGGGAAAGCAAGUCAGAUGUGAAAACUCAGGGCUCAACCCUGAGCCUGCAUUUGAUACUGGUUUUCUUGAGUGCUGGGGAGGCAAUCGGAAUUCCGGGUGUAGCGGUGAAAUGCGUAGAUAUAAGGAGGAACACCAGUGGCGAAGGCGGAUUGCUGGACAGUAACUGACGCUGAGGCGCGAAAGCGUGGGGAGCAAACAGGAUUAGAUACCCGGGUAGUC